UCCGGCUCUGUUCUCCCUUCAUGGAGGCAGGUCCAGGCAUGCUGCGAUGUCUUCUAGCAGUUUGUCUCUUCACCUUUUCCUGGAACGGGACAGGAAGCAGGCGGGGCUUUGGAAGAAACGGCCAAAAGGGGAACAAAUAAACUCAGCGAGAAGUCAACAUGCUCAGCUCCAUUCCCGCGUGUCGUGAUCCUCAUUGAAGUUCUUGCAAUAAGACCGUUUCCACCAGGAAUCGUCUUCAGUCGACACAUCUUGAGGGGAUUCGUACGCGACACACGGGGGUUACAAAAUUAUUAAGGAGCAGUCGGCUGCAGUGAAGCAACUGGGGGUUCAGUGCCUUGCUCAAGGACACUUCAACAUGGAACGAUGGGGAGAGCGGGGAACCAACCGGGUACCUUGUUGUUCAGGGACGACCGUGAGCUGCAUCAUCUUUUGUCUUUUAUCUUUGUUCAUUUAUUUUAUUGCACCAUAUUUUACUUUGUAUUGAACUUUGUUCUUUAACUGUUCAAAUGUUUUGGUCCCUGUUAUUGGAAAAUUGUUGUAAUUGACUAUUGAACUGCACUUUGUGACACUUUGACUGCGAUAAGUGCAAAAUAAAUAAACUUUACUGACA